rnacentral:misc_RNA from 1 species
GAUUUUGUUUUGAUCUAUUAGAGAGAAACAACUAGUCAGAGCAUACUAGACUUUAAAGAGAAGUUUAAAAAGACAAAAAAAAUGUUAAUCCUAUGGAGAGUGAGAGAUGACAUGGCAACAGCAUCUGGGCAGGGUUCAGGGUGAUGGCUUGAUUCUUAAGGAAAUCACUGUAAACUAGAGAAAUAAUCAUUUAAAAAUUAGGACUGAAAAUACCACUAGAAGAUUAAUUUGGGUCUUAUUUACUGGAUUUCAUAACAAGAAUACCGGUGCUAUUUGCCAAGAAUUUGAUUGUCUUGCUGAUGUAGUAAUUAUUUCGAGCGAUAUUGAUAUAUACCCCAUACUUACAUGUGUUGCUUGGCAUAACUUAGUCCUAUCUGCUGAUGAAAAUUAAGUUGGUCGUGCAUUUCAUUUAUAAACUUCUUCUUGUUUGUUUUUCACUGAAUUGGUUCCUUGGAUUGCAGGGAGUGCAACAGGCCAGGCCUU